AUAAAGGAGAAAUUGAUGAAGGUUGUGGACGCCAAAAUUCAGGCGGUGAGGCAGUGCAGAUCUUGGUGGUAGUAGCAAAUACUCCAGCGAGGCCCUGGAGGACUGACGUGGAGAAGGGUUUCGUGUGAACAGCCGUUGCACACGAGUCAGUCGAUCCUAAGCCCUAGGCGAAAGCCGAUGUUGAUGUGGUGUAGAUAUGUCGUUGGUUCGUUUUUAAUUCAAACGUAAACGUACGAAGCGAGCACACACCCAUUGGGCGAAAGGGAAUCCGGUUCCUAUUCCGGACCCGGCAGCGGAACCGUUAAUAAUUCGGGCCCUCGCAAGAGAGUUCGUCGGGCAACCCAAA
rnacentral:ncRNA from 1 species